rnacentral:rRNA from 1 species
AAACUAACAAGGAUUCCCCUAGUAACGGCGAGUGAAGCGGGAAGAGCUCAAAUUUGAAAUCUGGUAGCCUUCGGUUGCCCGAGUUGUAAUCUAGAGAAGUGUUUUCCGCGUUGGCCCAUGUACAAGUCCCUUGGAACAGGGCGUCAUAGAGGGUGAGAAUCCCGUCCUUGACAUGGACCCCCAAUGCUUUGUGAUACACUUUCAACGAGUCGAGUUGUUUGGGAAUGCAGCUCAAAAUGGGUGGUGAAUUCCAUCUAAAGCUAAAUAUUGGCGAGAGACCGAUAGCGAACAAGUACCGUGAGGGAAAGAUGAAAAGCACUUUGGAAAGAGAGUUAAACAGUACGUGAAAUUGUUGAAAGGGAAACGAUUGAAGUCAGUCAUGCUCUUUGGUUUAAGCCGUUCUGCGGUGUAUAUCAUUGAGUGGGGUCAACAUCAGUUUUGACCGCUGGAAAAGGGCAGGAGGAAGGUAGCACUCUCGGGUGAACUUAUAGCCUCCCGUCGUAUACAGUGGUUGGGACUGAGGAACGCAGCAUGCCUUUUGGCCGGGAUUCGUCCACGUACAUGCUUAGGAUGUUGACAUAAUGGCUUUAAACGAC